GGGGANAAAAGUCGUAACNAGGUUUCCGUAGGUGAACCUGCGGAAGGAUCAUUA
rnacentral:rRNA from 1 species